UACGAGGGGGGCGAGCGUUGUUCGGAAUUAUUGGGCGUAAAGGGUGCGUAGGCGGUUUGGUAAGUCUUGUGUGAAAUCUCUGGGCUCAACUCAGAGUCUGCACGAGAAACUGCCGGGCUUGAGUGUGGGAGAGGUGAGUGGAAUUCCUGGUGUAGCGGUGAAAUGCGUAGAUAUCGUAAGGAAGACCAGUGGCGAAGGCGGGUCUCUGGACAGUUCCUGACGCUGAGGCACGAAGGCCAGGGGAGCAAACGGG
rnacentral:rRNA from 1 species